UCAACCUUAUCAAUAUCUGCAUUUGGAAUAAGGCUGCACUAGCCAAAACCUGUUGGGACUUAGCUCACAAAAGUGACAAACUGUGGAUAUGUUGGAUUCAUAGCUUUUAUAUUAAAUCUGAUCAGGUCUCCACAACUCCUAUUCCAUAGCAAGCCUUUUGGACGAUCAAAAGUAUCAUUGCUACCAGAGAAACACUGCUGCAAACACAAUUGAUGGAGCAUCAACAUAAGAUAACAAUCCGAAAGAUUUAUUUACAAUUGCUGGGUGAAGGAACUAGGAUACCUUGGAAAUGUCUGAUGAUGGAUAAUGGAGCCCGACCAUAGGCAAAAAAUUCUUGUUGUUGUUGCAGAUUCAAAUCAAGUUACUAACAAAAGAUCAGCUACUCAAAUGGGAAUUAGAGGUGGAUAAAUUCUACAAGUUAUGUACAGGGAAUCAGGAAACUCGAACUCACCUGUUUGUUCACUGUGAAUACUCGAAGGAUUUGUGGCAUAGAUUAUUACGAUGGAUAGAGAUAAGUCCUGUUGAUACUAUUACAUGGGAGGAACAUGAGGAUUGGGUGAUAAAGAAAUUCAAGGGCAAAUCAUUACAGGCACAACUCUUUAAAAUGGUCUAUGCGGAAUUUGUACAUGCACUAUGGUUGAAAAGGAACUAUCGAUUGUUUGAAGAGAAGAAUAGACACUGGGAAUCUUUGGCUAAGGAGAUAGCCUAUUAUUGUAAUGUGAGAGCUAAUUUGGUUCUUCGAAC
rnacentral:lncRNA from 1 species